rnacentral:rRNA from 1 species
GCCACGGCCCAUAGAGGGUGGUAGGCCCGUGGGACCGUUGAAUUUAUAGGGAAGGCUUCUCCUUAGAGUCGGGUUGCUUGGUAAUGCAGCCCCAAGUGGGUGGUAAACUCCAUCUAAGGCUAAAUAUGACCACGAGACCGAUAGCGAACAAGUACCAUGAGGGAAAGUUGAAAAGAACUUUGAAGAGAGAGUUCAAGAGUACGUGAAACCGUUCGGGGGUAAACAGAUAGAACCUACAAGGUUGAAAGGGGAGACUCAAGCCGACAGAGUGAUGACUAUAUCUUUUGUUAUAUAUACAUUAUGUUAUAUGUCGUCAGAUAUGUCCGCUGCAUUUCUUAACCCUAGUAAGACGUCGCAACCCGUUGGGUGUCUGUCUCAAGGCACGGGAUGAAGUCUGUAUUGAUCUGAUUUCAUUACACGGCUCCCGUUGACCCGGCAGACUGCCCGACGGUAUGUGAAAUGAGGUUGACCCGCAUAUAAUGCGUCCGGUACAUAUUAACAAAAAUUAAUGUGUAGUCCUCGGACGGGGUGACAUCCUCUGUUUGCGACGAUACCAGAUUGGGUGGUCUAUCUGACCCGUCUUGAAACACGGACCAAGGAGUCUAACAUGUACGCGAGUUAUUGGGAAUUUCUAAACCUAAAGGCAUAAUGAAAGUAAAAAAAUCUUAUAUUCUAAGAUUUUAAUGGAAGAUGACAUUAUAUAUUAUAAUGUUCGCAUUCCAAGGGCGUCUCAUAAUUACUGAUCAUUGAUUUAUUUCUUUGAUAAAGAAUAGAGGCGAACCUAGAGCGUACACGUUGGGACCCGAAAGAUGGUGAACUAUUCCUGGCCAGGACGAAGUCAGGGGAAACCCUGAUGGAGGUCCGUAACGAUUCUGACGUGCAAAUCGAUCGUUGGAGCUGGGUAUAGGGGCGAAAGACUAAUCGAACCAUCUAGUAGCUGGUUCCCUCCGAAGUUUCCCUCAGGAUAGCUGGUGCUCAUCUAAAUUAAUGAAACUUAUUGAAUCUCAUCCGGUAAAGCGAAUGAUUAGAGGCCUUGGGGCCGAAACGACCUCAACCUAUUCUCAAACUUUAAAUGGGUGAGAACUUUGACAUUCAUGAAAUGAUGAUGUCAAAUGUUUUAUAAGGAUCAGAGUACCAAGUGGGCCACUUUUGGUAAGCAGAACUGGCGCUGUGGNNNNNNNNNNNNNNNNNNNNNNNNNNNNNNNNNNNNNNNNNNNNNNNNNNNNNNNNNNNNNNNNNNNNNNNNNNNNNNNCAGGACGGUGGCCAUGGAAGUUGGAAUCCGCUAAGGAGUGUGUAACAACUCACCUGCCGAAGCAACUAGCCCUGAAAAUGGAUGGCGCUAAAGCGUCGUGCCUAUACCCGACCGUCACUAUAAUAUUAAUAAUAUUUAAUUAUUAUAGAUAAGUGAAAUAGUGACGAGUAGGAGGGUCGCGAUGGUGAGCAAAGAAGGGUCUGGGUGUAAACCUGCCUGGAGCCGCCAUCGGUGCAGAUCUUGGUGGUAGUAGCAAAUACUCUAAAGAGGACCUUGAGGACUGAUGUGGAGAAGGGUUUCGUGUGAACAGCCGUUGCACACGAGUCAGUCGAUCCUAAGUUCUAAGAGAAAUCUGACUCAAUUGUAUAUAAUUCCAAUUAUAUGAUAUAUUGUAUGGAGCGAAAGGGAAUCCGGUUCCUAUUCCGGAACCCGGUAGUGGAACCGUACAGUUAUCUAAACAAUAACUGUCGAGACCCUCAUAAGAUCUCGUCAGGGUAACCUAACGUAACCCGGAGACGUCGUCGGGAGCCACGGGAAGAGUUUUCUUUUCUGUAUGAGCGUUCGUAUACCAUGGAAUCUUUUCGAAGGGAGAUAUGGUUAUGGAACGCGAAGAGCACCGCAGUUGCUGCGGGGUCUGUGGUUUCCCGACGAACCUUGA